UACGUAGGGUGCGAGCGUUGUCCGGAAUUAUUGGGCGUAAAGAGCUUGUAGGCGGUCUGUCGCGUCUGCUGUGAAAAUCCCGGGGCUCAACCCCGGACUUGCAGUGGGUACGGGCAGACUAGAGUGUGGUAGGGGGAGACUGGAAUUCCUGGUGUAGCGGUGAAAUGCGCAGAUAUCGGGAGGAACACCAGUGGCGAAGGCGACUUCCUGGCCUGUUCUUGACGCUGAGGCGCGAAAGCUAGGGGAGCAAACGGG
rnacentral:rRNA from 1 species